rnacentral:rRNA from 1 species
AGGCCGAUUCCCCUUGAGUUUGAUCAUGGCUCAGGAUGAACGCUGGCGGCGUGCUUAACACAUGCAAGUCGAACGAUGAUCCGGUGCUUGCACCGGGGAUUAGUGGCGAACGGGUGAGUAACACGUGAGUAACCUGCCCUUAACUCUGGGAUAAGCCUGGGAAGCUGGGUCUAAUACCGGAUAUGACUGAUCAUCGCAUGGUGGUUGGUGGAAAGCUUUUUGUGGUUUUGGAUGGACUCGCGGCCUAUCAGCUUGUUGGUGAGGUAAUGGCUUACCAAGGCGACGACGGGUAGCCGGCCUGAGAGGGUGACCGGCCACACUGGGACUGAGACACGGCCCAGACUCCUACGGGAGGCAGCAGUGGGGAAUAUUGCACAAUGGGCGCAAGCCUGAUGCAGCGACGCCGCGUGAGGGAUGACGGCCUUCGGGUUGUAAACCUCUUUCAGUAGGGAAGAAGCGAAAGUGACGGUACCUGCAGAAGAAGCGCCGGCUAACUACGUGCCAGCAGCCGCGGUAAUACGUAGGGCGCAAGCGUUAUCCGGAAUUAUUGGGCGUAAAGAGCUCGUAGGCGGUUUGUCGCGUCUGCCGUGAAAGUCCGGGGCUCAACUCCGGAUCUGCGGUGGGUACGGGCAGACUAGAGUGAUGUAGGGGAGACUGGAAUUCCUGGUGUAGCGGUGAAAUGCGCAGAUAUCAGGAGGAACACCGAUGGCGAAGGCAGGUCUCUGGGCAUUAACUGACGCUGAGGAGCGAAAGCAUGGGGAGCGAACAGGAUUAA